UCCUAGCUCAGAGUGAACGCUGGCGGCGUGGAUAAGGCAUGCAAGUCAAGGGGGCCCUUCGGGGCAACCGGCAAACGAGGUAGUAACACGUAGGUACGUACCCUAAAGUCAGGAGUAACUCCGCGAAAGCGGAGCUAAUACUUGAUAGUCCCUUCGGGGUAAAGAUUUAUCGCUUUAGGAACGGCCUGCGGGGUAUCAGCUUGUUGGUAGGGUAACGGCCUACCAAGGCUAUGACGCCUAGGGGAGGUGAGAGCCUGACCCCCACCGAUGGCACUGCGACACUGGCCAUACACCUACGGGUGGCCGCAGUCGAGAAUCUUCCGCAAUGGGCGAAAGCCUGACGGAGCGACGCCGCGUGAUUGAUGACGCUCUUCGGAGUGUAAAAAUCUUUUAUAGAGGAGGAAACUUUUGACGUUACUCUAUGAAUAAGGUGCUGCUAAACUCGUGCCAGCAGCAGCGGUAACACGAGUGCCCCAAGCGUUACUCGGAUUUAUUGGGCGUAAAGGGUGUGUAGGCGGUUUGAUUAGUCUUUCGUUAAAACCUCCCGCUCAACGGGAGACAUGCGGAGGAAACGGUCAAACUAGAGAAUGUGAGAGGCUUACGGAACUCACAGUGUAGGGGUGAAAUCCGUUGAUAUUGUGGGGAACACCAAAGGCGAAGGCAGUAAGCUGGCACAUUUCUGACGCUGAGACACGAAAGCGUGGGUAGCGAACGGGAUUAGAUACCCCGGUAGUCCACGCCCUAAACGAUGUUCUCUGGCUUUUCGGAGUAUCGACCCUCUGGGAGGCGUAGCUAACGCGUUAAGAGAACCGCCUGGGAAUUACGGCCGCAAGGCUAAAACUCAAAGGAAUAGACGGGGGCUCGCACAAGCGGUGGAUCAUGUGGUUUAAUUCGUCGGUAAACGAAGAACCUUACCAGGACUUGAAAUUUCAACGACGUAUUAUGGAAACAUAGUAUUUCUUCACAAGAGACGUUGAGACAGGUGAUGCAUGGCUGUCGUCAGUUCGUGGCUUGAGUUGUUCCCUUAAGUGGGGUAACGAACGCAACCCUUGUCGUCUGUUUUAAAUGUCAGGCGAGACUACUCCCUUUUUGGGAGAGGAAGCGAGGAUGACGCCAAGUCAGCAUGUCCCUCUGAUGUCCUGGGCUACACACAUGAUACAAUGGCUACUACAACAGGUUGCGCCGGGGAAACCCUAAGCUAAUCCUUAUAAAAGUAGCCCCAGUUCGGAUUGAGGUCUGCAAUUCGACCUCAUGAAGUUGGAAUCGCUAGUAAUCGCAGGUCAGCUAUACUGCGGUGAAUACGUUCUCGAGCCUUGUACUCACCGCCCGUCACGUCAAGGGAGCCGGGAGUGCCCGAAGUCCAGCAC
rnacentral:rRNA from 1 species